CUUAAAUCUUGGUAAAAGGCAGCGAAUUGAUGCCCGGUGACGCCCAGGUGUGCAGAUCGGACAAGCUCAGGGGAAGCUGUGACCGGGUGGAGAGGAGCGUGGGUCACAGAGCAGGAGGAGGGCUGCUCUCCACGCGGAUGUCCGUUUCCCCAUUUGGAUGCUCCUUUUGUCUUUCCGGAUUUGCUCCUCGUCGUUAACUCCUCCGGCUCCAGGGCCCUGCGGUUGAUUUUGGUCGGAGUCCGUCUAGGGCACAUUCUUUGCCUUCACCCACGGUACAAUGACGUCCAUCCGUUCAUCAACGUCUGUGCGUUUUCAUUCUCAACUAAUUGACCAUGUUACCCACGAAGACUUGGCCUUAAGAGGCGGAGCUGCAUCUCGAAAAGGACUGGUGCACUCGUUGAAAACAAACCCAAACCCAGCAAACUGUCCUCACGGUGAUGGUUCAUAGCCACUCAGACCCAAAGAAAGAGAAAGGAAGAAAGAAAGAAGAAAGAAAGAAAGAAAGAAAGAAAGAAAGAAAGAAAGAAGUAAAUCCCAGGAGGCCGUGUCACCGCUACCUCACAGCUCCACACACCAUUCCCGUCCCAGUCUCGGUGGCCGACAGCCCUGGCAGCCGUGCUCUGCGUGACUGUCUGGCUGGACGGGCCUGCCUGAGCCUUCAUGCUCUAAAUUGCUUGGUAAGAUUCAAGAAGGAAGAAGGGAAGGGCAUGAUGGGAAUGAGAAGACGUGUUUUCUUCUGGAAGGACCUCGGGGAGGCCAUGUGGAUGGAAACGUGCUGUCAAGAGGUGGUCAAGCACAGGGUCUGGAGGGAGACUACCCACAUCUGAUGGCCCACCAGUGCCUAUCUUUGAGAUUCUGGUUCACCAAUUCACUCCCUGGGCCCGUGCACGUAUGUGUGCAUGUAUAUGUACAUGAUGAUGCACACACAAUCCCCAACCAUGAAAGAGGAGCAGUGAUAGUGCUCAUCUCCUGGUGUUACAGUGAAGAGUCAGUGAGACAGUGCAUGGCUAGUACGGCAGGCUUCCUGACACAUAACUCACACUGAUUAAAAUGACAGCUGUCUUGGGCACCUGUGUGGCUCAGGUGGUUAAGUGGCUGCCUUUGGCUCAGGUCGUGGUCCCGGGAUCGAGCCCCUCGACUCCCUGCUCAGCAAGAGUCUGCUUCUCCCUCUCCCUCUGCCUGCUGCUCCCCCCACAUGUGCUCUCUCUCUCUCUCUCUCUCUCUCUCUAUGUGUGCCAAAUAAACAAAUAAAAUCUAAAAAAAAAAAAUAAAAA
ensembl:lncRNA